CUAUGAUGAUGCCCAAUUUAGAUGACGAGUCCUAUCCGGGUUUUUCCCGAUGACGAAACAUCAUUUUAACAACCAUUCAUGCAAUUUCUGAAC
rfam:Tuber melanosporum whole genome shotgun sequence assembly, scaffold_209, strain Mel28